rnacentral:misc_RNA from 1 species
AACGCACCUUGCGCUCCUUGGUAUUCCGAGGAGCAUGCCUGUUUGAGUGUCAUUAAAUUAUCAACCUUUCUGGCUAUGUCAUGUAGCUGGUCAGGCUUGGAUGUGGGGGUUGCGGGCUUCUCAGAAGUCGGCUCUCCUUAAAUGUAUUAGUGGAGCCUUUGUUGAUUCUCGCUCUGGUGUGAUAGUUUAUCUACGCCAAAUGCAAAGUCGACGCUUUUUUAAAAAGGGGUUUUGCUAUCUAACCGUCCCUUUUAUGUGGACAACUUCUUGACAUUUGAACUCAAAUCAGGUAGGACUACCCGCUGAACUUAA